rnacentral:rRNA from 1 species
GACGAACGCUGGCGGCGCGCCUAACACAUGCAAGUCGAACGGAAUAUUUCCUUCGGGGAAUAUUUAGUGGCGGACGGGUGAGUAACGCGUGAGUAACCUGCCCUUCAGAGGGGGAUAGCGGUUGGAAACGACCGAUAAUACCGCAUAACGUAUUUGGAUGACAUCAUCCGAAUACCAAAGGAGCAAUCCGCUGAAAGAUGGACUCGCGUCCGAUUAGCCAGUUGGCGGGGUAACGGCCCACCAAAGCAACGAUCGGUAGCCGGACUGAGAGGUUGAACGGCCACAUUGGGACUGAGACACGGCCCAGACUCCUACGGGAGGCAGCAGUGGGGAAUAUUGCACAAUGGAGGAAACUCUGAUGCAGCGACGCCGCGUGAGGGAAGAAGGUUUUCGGAUUGUAAACCUCUGUCCUUGGUGACGAUAAUGACGGUAGCCAAGGAGGAAGCCACGGCUAACUACGUG